rnacentral:lncRNA from 1 species
GGAAAGAGCAGAAAGAAGAAGAAGAAGAAGAAGAAGAAGAAGAUUGAGGGUUGAGAGUAGAGAGAGAGAGAGAUGUGAAAUGUGAAGAAGCAAAGCACAUGGGAACAGAGGUGCAUGUGGAGAAGAUUCAGAAUAGCUUUUGAUUGUAAAUGGAAAUAGAAAUAGAAAUAAAUAUAAGAGGAAGAGAGCAACAGGGAAUAACAUGGAUCCACCCAAAGGUGUGCAUGUGUGUGUGUACCCUCUAAUCUUCCAAUAACAAUGCAUGUGAGCAGCUUGUUGUAGGCCAGGCUAAAGCAGUACAUUGUCCUCUUCCACCACCAUCACAAUAUUUUUAAAUAAAUAAAUAAAUAUAUUGGGUGGUGGGUCUCCCAAAAUUCCCUUGAUACAAUUGACACUAGAAAACUUAGAAUUUUUAAAAGCAAAAAUAAAAAGGAUGAUUAAUCGAUGGAUAAAUUGACACUUGCAAUCAUACGUUUCUCCCU